CUACCGUCGCGUUGUGAGACGACGGCAAGCGCUCGUGCUCCGAGGCGAACUCGACGGCCAGCAUCGCGUUGUAAGGUGCCGUCUUCUUGAGCCGUAGACGCCGCGCGGAUCCAACUGCGCGCGCGAGCGGGAAACAAUCACGUCAAAAUUCCUUACGUAUAUGUCUCAGUCACGCCAUCUUUCGCCGCUAUUCUCGCUCAAAUCAGCCAGCGACAACGGCGGUGGCGGUCGCAGCUGCGACGGUGGCGGUAGUCGCAGUGGCGGCGGGGGCGGCUGCAAGCAGACUUCCUCAUGGAUGCGGCUCGGCCCCAACACUGAAUCUAGCCUGUUUCAGCAACGGCAUGGCAGUGCCCUUCGUCGUCCGCGGAAGCAACUCGUCCCCAACACCCAUCCCUUCGCCUGGUACGAUUCAUCCUCAAUCCCUAGCAGAUGGCGACAAUUCUUCAUCAAUCCAUGGCAGAUGAGGCUACCCAGUUGGAUUUGGCUCCACCAGUCCAAGUUCUUCUUAGUUUGGGCAUCAAUCAAGUUGGGAUCCCGCAUGAAUGCGUGAGACCAAGCCUCUAGAUGGCUGAUCAGGCGUCCUCUUUUGUGAUGUUUUAGUGCUUGACUUGGUUAGAGUUUUAGGACAUGUUUUCAGAACUUAAGUUUAUGGAGAAGGCAGCCCAUGUGCAAUCCAUUAUGUAUCAUGGAAUCUGCUUGGUCUGGUUAUGUCUGAUGUGCGUGUUCUUGCAAAAAUGUCAUGGCUAUUCGUUCAUGUCUAGUAUUCGUGCAUAGUGUUCAUGACCUGAUGACCAAAGCCUCAGGUUCAGUUCUAUACUGGGCAAUCUUUCACUUAAACCUGUAUGGAAUCUGCUGUUUUUUUUUUUUUGGGAAUGUAUGGAACCUGUUGUUAUAUGGUUUAUCUUGUGACCUAUCUUUUUGGUUUGCUUCUGAGCUGUGACCUGUAUUUGAACCUAUCUCCUUGUGUGAAUCUAUCAAGUGUCUACAUGUC